rnacentral:rRNA from 1 species
GACGAACGCUGGCGGCGUGCCUAAUACAUGCAAGUCGAACGAGAGCGACCGGUGCUUGCACUGGUCAAUCUAGUGGUGAACGGGUGAGUAACACGUGGGUAACCUGCCCAUCAGAGGGGGAUAACAUCCGGAAACGGAUGCUAAAACCGCAUAGGUCUUCGAACCGCAUGGUUUGAAGAGGAAAAGAGGCGCAAGCUUCUGCUGAUGGAUGGACCCGCGGUGCAUUAGCUAGUUGGUGAGGUAACGGCUCACCAAGGCCGUGAUGCAUAGCCGACCUGAGAGGGUGAUCGGCCACAUUGGGACUGAGACACGGCCCAAACUCCUACGGGAGGCAGCAGUAGGGAAUCUUCCGCAAUGGACGCAAGUCUGACGGAGCAACGCCGCGUGAGUGAAGAAGGUUUUCGGAUCGUAAAACUCUGUUGUUAGAGAAGAACAAGUGCUAGAGUAACUGUUAGCGCCUUGACGGUAUCUAACCAGAAAGCCACGGCUAACUACGUG